CACGGGGGGAGCAAGCGUUGUUCGGAAUCACUGGGCGUAAAGGGCGUGUAGGCGGUCAGGUAAGUGGGACGUGAAAUGCCUCGGCUCACCUGAGGAGCGGCGUCCCAUACUGCUUGGCUUGAGUACGGGAGAGGAUGUGGGAAUUCCUGGUGUAGCGGUGAAAUGCGUAGAUAUCAGGAGGAACACCGGUGGCGAAGGCGCACAUCUGGCCCGAUACUGACGCUGAGGCGCGAAAGCUAGGGGAGCAAACGGG
rnacentral:rRNA from 1 species